GAUAAACGCUAGCGGUGUGCAUUAUGCAUGCAAGUCGAGCGGUAUGUCGUAAGAUAUACAGCGGCAAACGGCUGAGUAACACGUAAGUAAUCCGUCCCAAAGUGGGGAAUAAUCCGCCGAAAGGUGGACUAAUACCGCAUGGGGUGGUGGAAUCAGUUUUCUAUCACUAAAGCUUUCGGGCGCUUGGGGAAGAGCUUGCGUCCUAUCAGGUAGUUGGUGGGGUAACGGCCUACCAAGCCUUCGACGGGUAGCUGGUCUGAGAGGAUGUCCAGCCAGACGGGGACUGAGACACGGCCCCGACUCCUACGGGAGGCAGCAGCAGGGAAUUUUGCGCAAUGGGCGAAAGCCUGACGCAGCAACACCGCGUGAGGGAAGAAGGCCUUCGGGUUGUAAACCUCUUUUAUCAGGGAAGAAUAAUGACGGUACCUGAUGAAUAAGUCACGGCUAACUACGUGCCAGCCGCCGCCGUAACAC
rnacentral:rRNA from 1 species